rnacentral:rRNA from 1 species
AGGCACGAAAGCGUGGGGAGCAAACAGGAUUAGAUACCCUGGUAGUCCACGCCGUAAACGAUGAGUACUAAGUGUCGGGUUAAACCGGUACUGAAGUUAACACAUUAAGUACUCCGCCUGAGUAGUACGUACGCAAGUAUGAAACUUAAAGGAAUUGACGGGACUCCGCACAAGCAGAGGAUCAUGUUGUUUAAUUCGAAGAUACCCGAAAAACCUUACCAGGUCUUGACAUGUUUUUGCGAAACGGUAGUAAUAUGGUGGAGGUUAUCAGAAACACAGGUGGUGCAUGGUUGUCGUCAGCUCGUGUCGUGAGAGGUUAGGUUAAGUCCCAAAACGAGCGAAACCCUUAUCGUUAGUUGCCAGCACGUAAUGGUGGGGACUUUAACGAGACUGCCAGUGAUAAAUUGGAGUAAGGUGAGGAUCACGUCAAAUCAGCAUGCCCCUUAUGACCUGGGCUACAAACGUGAUACAAUGGCUGUUACAAAGGGUAGCUGAAACGCAAGUUCUUGGCCAAUCCCCAAAAACAGUCUCAGUCCGGAUUGAA